CGCGUGAUACGUAGGGUGCGAGCGUGUCCGGAAUUAUUGGGCGUAAAGAGCUGUAGGCGGUCUAUUGCGUCGAAAGUGAAAACUCAGGGCUCAACCCUGAGCUGCUCUCGAUACGGGUAGACUUGAGGGAUGUAGGGGAGAACGGAAUUCUUGGUGGAGCGGUGGAAUGCGCAGAUAUCAGGAGGAACACCGGUGGCGAAGGCGGUUCUCUGGACAUUUCCUGACGCUGAGAAGCGAAAGCGUGGGUAGCAAACAGGCUUAGAUACCCUGGUAGUCCACGCCGUAAACGGUGGGUACUAGGUGUGGGGGACAUUCCACGUUCUCCGUGCCGCAGCUAACGCAUUAAGUACCCCGCCUGGGGAGUACGGCCGCAAGGCUAAAACUCAAAGGAAUUGACGGGGCCCCGCACAAGCGGCGGAGCAUGCGGAUUAAUUCGAUGCAACGCGAAGAACCUUACCUGGGUUUGACAUAUGCCGGAAAGGCCUAGAGAUAGGUCCCCCCUUGUGGUCGGUUUACAGGUGGUGCAUGGCUGUCGUCAGCUCGUGUCGUGAGAUGUUGGGUUAAGUCCCGCAACGAGCGCAACCCUCGUCCUAUGUUGCCAGCGGAUAAUGCCGGGGACUCGUAGGAUACUGCCGGGGUCAACUCGGAGGAAGGUGGGGAUGACGUCAAGUCUUCAUGCCCCUUAUGUCCAGGGCUUCACGCAUGCUACAAUGGCCGGUACAAAGGGCUGCAAACCCGCAAGGGUGAGCGAAUCCCAAAAAGCCGGUCUCAGUUCGGAUUGGGGUCUGCAACUCGACCCCAUGAAGUCGGAGUCGCUAGUAAUCGCAGAUCAGCAACGCUGCGGUGAAUACGUUCCCGGGGCUUGUACACACCGCCCGUCAAGUCAUGAAAGUCGGUAACACCCGAAGC
rnacentral:rRNA from 1 species